AUGAACGCUGGCGGCGUGCCUCAUCCAUGCCAGUCGAGCGAACGGACGAGAAGCUUGCUUCUCUGAUGUUAGCGGCGGACGGGUGAGUAACACGUGGAUAACCUACCUAUAAGACUGGGAUAACUUCGGGAAACCAGAGCUAAUACCGGAUAAUAUUUUGAACCGCAUGGUUCAAAAGUGAAAGACGGUCUUGCUGUCACUUAUAGAUGGAUCCGCGCUGCAUUAGCUAGUUGGUAAGGUAACGGCUUACCAAGGCAACGAUGCAUAGCCGACCUGAGAGGGUGAUCGGCCACACUGGAACUGAGACACGGUCCAGACUCCUACGGGAGGCAGCAGUAGGGAAUCUUCCGCAAUGGGCGAAAGCCUGACGGAGCAACGCCGCGUGAGUGAUGAAGGUCUUCGGAUCGUAAAACUCUGUUAUUAGGGAAGAACAUAUGUGUAAGUAACUGUGCACAUCUUGACGGUACCUAAUCAGAAAGCCACGGCUAACUACGUG
rnacentral:rRNA from 1 species